GUUUUAAUAAUUUAAAUAAAAUAUUGGUCUUGUAAAUCAAAAAUGAAUAAUUUUUCUUAAAACU
rnacentral:tRNA from 1 species